rnacentral:rRNA from 1 species
CCACUUCGGUGGAGGUACAGUGGCGGAAGGGCGAGUAAUGCGUUUCUAACGUACCCCCGAAGCGAGGGUAUAGCAGUGGGAAACCGCUGGUAAUACCUCAUGAAGCCGUGUCUUCGCAUGGAGACACGGUGAAAGGCUUGCCACUCGGGGAGCGGGGAACGUCCUAUCAGCUAGUUGGUGAGGUAAUGGCUCACCAAGGCUUAGACGGGUAGCGGGUGUGAGAGCACGACCCGCCGCAUCGGGACUGAGACACUGCCCGGACUCCUACGGGAGGCUGCAGUAACGAAUAUUCCGCAAUGCGCGAAAGCGUGACGGAGCAAUGCCGCGUGAAGGAUGAAGCCCCUCGGGGUGUAAACUUCUGUCAGAGGCUANGAAUUCAUGACCAACCUC